GAUGAAGAACGUAGCGAAAUGCGAUAAGUUGUGUGAAUUGCAGAAUUCAGUGAAUCAUCGAAUCUUUGAACGCACAUUGCGCCCCUUGGUAUUCCAUGGGGCAUGCCUGUUCGAGCGUCAUUUGUACCUUCAAGCUCUGCUUGGUGUUGGGUGUUUGUCUCGCCUUGCGCGUAGACUCGCCUUAAAACAAUUGGCAGCCGGCGUAUUGAUUUCGGAGCGCAGUACAUCUCGCGCUUUGCACUCAUAACGACGACGUCCAAAAGUACUUUUUACACUCUUGACCUCGGAUCAGGUAGGGAUACCCGCUGAACUUAAGCAUAUCAAUAAGCGGAGGA
rnacentral:misc_RNA from 1 species